CCUACGGGAGCAGCAGUGGGGAAUAUUGCACAAUGGGCGCAAGCCUGAUGCAGCCAUGCCGCGUGUGUGAAGCAGGCCUUCGGGUUGUAAAGCACUUUCAGCGGGGAGGAAGGCGGUGAGGUUAAUAACCUCAUCGAUUGACGUUACCCGCAGAAGAAGCACCGGCUAACUCCGUGCCAGCAGCCGCGGUAAUACGGAGGGUGCAAGCGUUAAUCGGAAUUACUGGGCGUAAAGCGCACGCAGGCGGUCUGUCAAGUCGGAUGUGAAAUCCCCGGGCUCAACCUGGGAACUGCAUUCGAAACUGGCAGGCUAGAGUCUUGUAGAGGGGGGUAGAAUUCCAGGUGUAGCGGUGAAAUGCGUAGAGAUCUGGAGGAAUACCGGUGGCGAAGGCGGCCCCCUGGACAAAGACUGACGCUCAGGUGCGAAAGCGUGGGGAGCAAACAGGAUUAGAUACCCCAGUAGUC
rnacentral:rRNA from 1 species